GACAGAGGGUGCAAACGUUGUUCGGAAUUACUGGGCGUAAAGCGCGUGUAGGCGGCUAUGCAAGUCGGAUGUGAAAGCCCUCGGCUCAACCGGGGAAGUGCACCCGAAACUGCAAAGCUAGAGUCUCGGAGAGGAUCGUGGAAUUCUCGGUGUAGAGGUGAAAUGCGUAGAUAUCUGGAGGAACACCGGUGGCGAAGGCGGCAUCCUGGACCGGUAUUGACGCUGAGGCGCGAAAGCCAGGGGAGCAAACGGG
rnacentral:rRNA from 1 species